rnacentral:rRNA from 1 species
ACACUCCUGCGGGAGGCAGCAGUGGGGAAUAUUGCACAAUGGGCGCAAGCCUGAUGCAGCCAUGCCGCGUGUAUGAAGAAGGCCUUCGGGUUGUAAAGUACUUUCAGCGGGGAGGAAGGCGAUAAGGUUAAUAACCUUGUCGAUUGACGUUACCCGCAGAAGAAGCACCGGCUAACUCCGUGCCAGCAGCCGCGGUAAUACGGAGGGUGCAAGCGUUAAUCGGAAUUACUGGGCGUAAAGCGCACGCAGGCGGUCUGUCAAGUCGGAUGUGAAAUCCCCAGGCUCAACCUGGGAACUGCAUUCGAAACUGGCAGGCUAGAGUCUUGUAGAGGGGGGUAGAAUUCCAGGUGUAGCGGUGAAAUGCGUAGAGAUCUGGAGGAAUACCGGUGGCGAAGGCGGCCCCCUGGACAAAGACUGACGCUCAGGUGCGAAAGCGUGGGGAGCAAACAGGAUUAGAAACCCCGGUAGUCCCAUG